UACGAAGGGGGCUAGCGUUGCUCGGAAUCACUGGGCGUAAAGCGCACGUAGGCGGAUUGUUAAGUCAGGGGUGAAAUCCUGGAGCUCAACUCCAGAACUGCCUUUGAUACUGGCGAUCUUGAGUCCGGGAGAGGUGAGUGGAACUGCGAGUGUAGCGGUGAAAUGCGCAGAUAUCGGGAAGAACACCCGUGGCGAAGGCGGUUCUCUGGGACGGUACUGACGCUGAGACGCGAAAGCGUGGGGAGCGAACAGG
rnacentral:rRNA from 1 species